UACGAGGGGGGCGAGCGUUGUUCGGAAUUAUUGGGCGUAAAGGGCGUGUAGGCGGCUUGGUAAGUCCGCUGUGAAAGUCCAGGGCUCAACCCUGGAAAGCCGGUGGAAACUGUCAAGCUUGAGUCCGGAAGAGGCGAGUGGAAUUCCUGGUGUAGCGGUGAAAUGCGCAGAUAUCAGGAGGAACACCAAUGGCGAAGGCAGCUCGCUGGGACGGUACUGACGCUGAGACGCGAAAGCGUGGGGAGCAAACAGG
rnacentral:rRNA from 1 species